rnacentral:rRNA from 1 species
GCUUAACACAUGCAAGUCGAGCGAGAAUAGUUUAUUGAAGGCUUCGGCUGGAAAUAGAAGAGGAAAGCGGCGAACGGGUGAGUAACGCGUGGGCAACCAGGCCUUAAGAAAAGGAUAGUUCCCGUAAACGGGGCGUACUACUUUAUGAGAAUGAAAGAGGGCAUCCUACUUUCAUUUAAAACGCAAGCGCUUAAGGAUGGGCCUGCGUAUCAUUAGCUAGUUGGUGAGAUAACAGCCCACCAAGGCAACGAUGAUUAGCCGGUCUGAGAGGGCGAACGGCCCCAAUGGAACUGAGAGACGGUCCAAACUCCUACGGGAGGCAGCAGUGGGGAAUAUUGCGCAAUGGAGAAGAACUCUGACGCAGCAAUACCGCGUGAGAGAAGAAGGUCUUCGGAUCGAAAAGCUCUGUUAUCAGGGAAGAAGAAAAUGACGGUACCUGAUGAGCAAGUCCCGGCUAACUACGUGCCAGCAGCCGCCGUAAAAC